GUAAUAGUGUAGUGGUUAUCACAUCUGCUUCAUACGUAGAAGGUCCUAGGUUCAAUUCCUAGUGGAAGCU